rnacentral:rRNA from 1 species
UACAGAGGGUGCGAGCGUUAAUCGGAAUUACUGGGCGUAAAGCGCACGUAGGUGGCUUUGCAAGUCGAUUGUGAAAUCCCCGGGCUUAACCGAGGAACUGCCUGUCAGACUGUGAGGCUUGAGACCGGGAGAGGUGAGUGGAAUUCCCAGUGUAGCGGUGAAAUGCGUAGAUAUUGGGAGGAACACCAGUGGCGAAGGCGGCUCACUGGACCGGAACUGACGCUGAGGCGCGAAAGCGUGGGGAGCAAACAGG